rnacentral:rRNA from 1 species
GGAGGAUCCAAGCGUUAUCCGGAUUUAUUGGGUUUAAAGGGUGCGCAGGCGGAAGAUUAAGUCGGCGGUGAAAUUUUGCAGCUCAACUGUAAAAGUGCCAUCGAUACUGGUUUUCUUGAGUGUGGAUGAAGUAGGCGGAAUUUGUGGUGUAGCGGUGAAAUGCAUAGAUAUCACGAGGAACUCCGAUUGCGCAGGCAGCUUACUAGGCCAUAACUGACGCUCAGGCACGAAGGCGUGGGGAUCAAACAGGAUUAGAUACCCUGGUAGUCCACGCAGUAAACGAUGAUUACUCGCUGUUUGCGAUACACAGUAAGCGGCUUAGCGAAAGCGUUAAGUAAUCCACCUGGGGAGUACGUUCGCAAGAAUG